CCUACGGGUGGCAGCAGUGAGGAAUAUUGGUCAAUGGGCGCAAGCCUGAACCAGCCAAGUCGCGUGAGGGAUGACGGUCCUAUGGAUUGUAAACCUCUUUUGUCGGGGAGCAAGGCCGGCCACGUGUGGCGGGAAGGAGAGUACCUGAAGAAAAAGCAUCGGCUAACUCCGUGCCAGCAGCCGCGGUAAUACAGAGGUUUCAAGCGUUGUUCGGAAUCAUUGGGGGUAAAGGGUGCGUAGGCUGUAUCGUAAGUCGUGGGUGAAAGUUGCGGGCGGAACCCGCGGAGGGCAGAGGAUACUGCGAGACUAGAGUGAGGGAGAGGGAAGCGGAAUUCGCGGUGGAGCGGUGAAAUGCGUAGAUAUCGAGAAGAACACUCGUGGCGAAGGCAGGUUCCUGGACAUUAACUGACGCUGAGGCACGAAGGCGAGGGGAGCGAAAGGGAUUAGAUACCCCAGUAGUC
rnacentral:rRNA from 1 species